GGAGGCCUGAUAUCCAAGGCAGCACCAUCGUUUCUGUUCUGCAUGUUCUUGUCCAGUCCACCAGAAAGCUUACUAUCUCCAGAUUUCUUUCUUUCUUCAGAAGGAGUGGCACCUGUUCCCAUAACCUCUUUGUCAUUUGUGCAAACAGUGAACUUCUGUACACUGUCCCCACCCUUGUCCUCUGAUAGUGUCACAGAACCAUUUACUUUUAUUCGUUUUGAAGGCCUAUCGUCCAAAAUGCCAAGAUCCUUCGAAGGUUUAC
rnacentral:misc_RNA from 1 species